rnacentral:rRNA from 1 species
CCUUCGGGGGACAGCAGUGGGGAAUAUUGCACAAUGGGGGAAACCCUGAUGCAGCGACGCCGCGUGAGUGAAGAAGUAUUUCGGUAUGUAAAGCUCUAUCAGCAGGGAAGAAGAAAGACGGUACCUGACUAAGCAGCCCCGGCUAACUACGUGCCAGCCGCCGCGGUAAUACGUAGGGGGCAAGCGUUAUCCGGUUUUACUGGGUGUAAAGGGAGCGUAGACGGCUGGGCAAGUCUGACGUGAAAGCCCAGGGCUCAACCCUGGGACUGCUUUGGAAACUGUGGGGCUAGAGUGCUGGAGGGGUAAGUGGAAUUCCGAGUGUAGCGGUGAAAUGCGUAGAUAUUAGGAGGAACACCAGUGGCGAAGGCAGCUUACUGGACAGUAACUGACGUUGAGGCUCGAAAGCGUGGGGAGCGAACAGGAUUAGAUACCCCUGUAGUC